GCAAGGAGAAGACUCUACACAAGGACAGGACUCGACAGGUAGGUAAUCGACACAAGAAGACUCUUCACAACGACAGGACUCGACAUAAGGAGAGGACUUGACAGGUAGGUAAUCGACACAAGAAGACUCGUCACAAGGAGGACUCGACAGGUAGGUAAUUGACACAAGGAAAAGACUACACAAGGAGAUGACUCAAUGCAAGUAGAAGACUCUUCGCAAGGACAGGACUUGACACAAGGAGAAGACUCGUCGCAAGGACAGGACUCGUCACAAGGAGAGGAUUCGACCGGUAGGUAAUUGACACAUGGAGAAGACUCGUCGCAAGGACAGGAAUCGACACAAGGAGAGGACUCGACACGAGAGGACUCGACAGGUAGGUAAUUGACACAAGGAGAAGAGUCAUCGGAAGGACUCGUCACAAGGAAGACUCGACACAAGGAGAGGACUUGACAGGUAGGUAAUCGACACAAGUAGAAGAAUUGUCGCAAGGACAGGAAACGACACGAGAGGACUCGACAGGUAGGUAAUCGACACAAGAAGACUCGUCACAAGGACAGGAAUCGACACAAGGAGAGGACUCGACAGGUAGGUAAUCGACACAAGGAGAUGACUCGACGCGAGUGGACUCGAAAGGUAGGUAAUUCACACAAGACUUGUCGCAAGGAGAGGACUUUACGCAAGGAGAAGACUCUCCGCAAGGAGAAGACUCUAGGCAAGGAGAAGACUCUACACAAGGACAGGACUCGACAGGUAGGUAAUCGACACAAGAAGACUCUUCACAACGACAGGACUCGACAUAAGGAGAGGACUCGACAGGUAGGUAAUCGACACAAGUAGAAGACUCUUCACAAGGAGAGGACUCGUCACAAGGAGGACUCGACAGGUAGGUAAUUGACACAUGGAGAAGACUACGCACGGAGAAGACUACGCACGGAGAAGACUCUACGCAAGGAGAAGACUACGCAAGGAGAAGACUCUACGCAAGGAGAAGACUUGACAGGUAGGUAAUCGACACAAGAAGAAGAAUCGUCGCAAGGACAGGACUCGUCACAAGGAGAGAACUCGACAGGUAGGUAAUAGACACAAGGAGAAGACUCGACGCAAGGAGAAGACUCUACGCAAGGAGAAGACUCGUCGCAAGCACAGGCCUCAAAAGAUAGGUAAUCGACACAAGGAGAAGACUUGUCGCAAGGAGAAGACUCUACACGGAGAGAACUCGACACGAGAGGACUCGACAGGUAGGUAAUUGACACAAGGAGAAGAGUCAUCGGAAGGACUCGUCACAAGGAAGACUCGACACAAGGAGAAGACUUGACAGGUAGGUAAUCGACACAAGUAGAAGAAUUGUCGCAAGGACAGGAAACGACACGAGAGGACUCGACAGGUAGGUAAUCGACAUAAGGAGAAGACUCUCCGCAAGGAGAAGACUCUACGCAAGGACAGGAAUCGACACUAGGAGGGGACUUGUCGCAAGGAGAAGACUCUACACGGAGAGAACUUGACACGAGAGGACUCCAAAGGUAGGUAAUCAACAAGUAGAAGACUCGUCGCAAGAACAGGACUCGUCACAAGGAGGACUCGACAGGUAGGUAAUUGACACAUGGAGAAGACUCUACACAAGGAGAAGCCUACUCAAGGAGAAGCGUCGUCGCAAGGACAGGACUUGUCGCAAGAGAUGACUCGACAGGUAGGUAAUCGACACAAGGAGAAGACUCUACACAAGGAGAAGACUCUACACAAGGAGAAGACUACACAAGGACAGGACUCGUCAAAAGGAGAGGACUCCACAGUUAGGUUAUCGACACAAGGAGAAGACUCUACACAGUAGAGGACUUGACAUGAGAGGACUCGAGAGGUAGGUAAUCGACUCAAGGAGAAGACUCUUCACAAGGACAGGACUUGACACAAGGAGAAGACUUGACACAAGGAGAAGACUCGACACAAGGAGAAGACUGAUCACAAGGACAGGAUUCGUCGCAAGGGGAAGACUCUACAGAAGGAGAAGACUCGACACGAGAAGACUCGACAGGAGGACGUCAUCGACACAAGGAGAAGACUAAUCGCAAAGAGAAGACUGAUCACAAGUACAGGACUCGAGUCAGGGAGAGGACUCCACAGGUAGGUAAUCAACAAAAGGAGAAGACUCGUGGCAAGGAGAAGACUCUACACAAGCAGUGGACUCAAAACGAGAGGACUCUACACAAGGACAGGACUCGUCACAAGGAGAAGACUCGUCGCAAGGACAGGACUCUACACAAGUAGAGGACUCGACACGAGAGGAGUCUACACAAGGAGAGGACGCGACAGGUAGGUCAUCGACACAAGGAGAAGACUCUACACAAGCAGUGGACUCAACACGAGAGGACUCGACACAAGGAGGGGACUCGACAGGUAGGUAAUCAACACGAGAAGACUCGUCGCAAGGAGAAGACUCAACACAAGGAGAAGACUCAUCUCUUAGAUAUCAUUCUCACACCAAACUGACACCACACCCACUUUUUCCAACUCAUUUAGAAGCCAACUAUCACAUAUUUCAAACCAGGCCCAUAAUACACAGCGCCUUCUGUUUAAACCAUAACAAAAACAUAAAACACGUAGCUACAUUCUAGCUGCGGGUCCAGUUCUGACGUGUAGGCCUAUGUGAGGCGACCCCAAAUCCCGAGUUUCGGCUCGAUAGGUCAUUUGGAGGCCGAGCAGCGAGGGCGUUGCUACGGGGUCCUUGAAUGAGAUAUCGGACAGAAACGUUGGGGUCAGUCUCUAUGGGCCAAGGCGGUUUCAAUGCACCUAGUUUUGCGACUCUGGGACUUUUCUAAAUGUCGUACUUUUCAUGUCAAAAUGAUUUUAAGUCAUUGCAAAUGUACGAGGCUGUUUCUCGGUCUGAGGCACUUCCGGUUGGCACAAGAAGCUUCAAGUAAACACAUAUCCUCAUUGGGGUGGGCUUUUUACAGAAUCCUAGGUUUAAAGUCUUUACGUUAAGAAUUGACUGAUUUACACAGGGUUGAAUGCAGUGUUUAUCAAAAACUUCAGGUUGUGUAUAUCAAAACACCUUUAGGGUGAAUUUAAUCAACACAGGUAGAGCUCAUAGUGGCCUGAUGAAUUGGCAUCGAAGACAGGUUCAUAAGACAUUCAUAACCCACAUAGACUUCAGGUUGAAUUUAGGGGAGCAGGUAAUGUAUUCCUAUGGGGAGAGAAGUCAUUGCAAACUGUUUGAUGUAAACACCUUCUUUUAACUGUUAAGGGUUAAUGCCACACGGUCAAGGUUAGGCUUGCACAGAUCAGGAGGACCUUAGGAACACCCCUGCGGUUGACUUUUCCUUCUCACCCUAACGGCUACGCCGCUGUCCCCCAGGAGCACCUGAAAUUUAGGGCCAGGCUUCAUUUUGGGCCUACUUUUUUUCACGGUUGCUGCUCUCAGACCGAGUGAGCUACGGUCAAGUGGGGCAUCUCGUUGAACUCGGCACGGCCUAGAGACUAGGUUGAUGCCAUUUGUUUCCCUGUCUGUGAUGAGUUCAGCCUGUCUAAGUUUCUAGUACAACUUGUGCUUCCAGAACAGCAGGUAUACAGACUACAGCAGGUCUUCAUUGUUUAUUAAUCUACUUCACUUGCGUAUGUUUCCCAUGCCAAUUUUUAACCACCGUGAAGGACAGUAAACACAGUGAAGGUUCAACACUUACAAAUUAAGUGACGCAGACCAAAUCCAAAACCUUAAAAAAAAGCACGACACAAAGAAUUACUCAAAUAAUUAUUUUAUUAAACAUCACAAAUACAAACCGUGACAUUAUAAAGAAUCACACCGAAAUAGAAAAUAGAACAGACCGUUAAGAGUAAAUUACACACUAUUCACACGUUCGAGAUCUGAACAAGCACACCGAAAUAGAAAACCACACCAAACAAAAUCAAAACAGUGUAAAUGUGAGACAGUCUUUAACAGUCUGCGGGGAAGAGGAAGUCUCAUUGUUGGUCGGCUCCCCUUCCUUCUAGCUGCAUCGGGGCUCCCCUCUUUCCUUGUGCGCCUUCUCCUGCAGCUUUCUCCUCCUUGAGGCAAUGGCUUUUUUUGAGUCUGACUGUUUGAAUUCAGCUGAUGCAUAGCUUGCAAUGUUUUUUUUAAAAUUUUUCUUAUUUUCAAUGACGACCUAGGAACACUGGGUUUAACUGCCUGUUCAGGGGCAGAACAGCAGAUUUGUACCUUGUCAGCUCGGGGGUUUUGAACUUGAUCCAGAGGCCGCGUCCUUGUAUUGGUUUUCGGGGAUGUGGAUGACGACAGUCGUGGUUGGAUGUUCUCGUGUGAAAGACUCUCGUCCGCGGAGCUACAACCGAGAUAGUAGAGCUGCGCAUCGAUUUGACUGGUGUCGUAACGCAGCCGUGUUCCUGCCUCUGACUGCCAUCGUCCUCACUGCUUGAAUAUGCUUUUGGGGCACAGUCGAUAGCGCGCUGGAGGUCGAGGGUUCGAGUCCUGCUCCCUGCCUGUUUCAUUACGCUACAUUUUACUAUCGUUAUAUUUCUGUGCUACAGAAAUUAUCUGACAGUUCCAAACUCAAUCAGAAGCUUUUCUAAAUUUUAUUCAAGUAGUUUAAUCCAUUUCAUUCAAGUAGUAUAAUUGUCAUUUGCAAGUACCUAUUAAAAGUAAUAUAUUGGAACUAUUAUUUGGAGCUCUCUCACAUAUAGUAGGUCUACAUAGCACACAGAGGUAGACAGUAUAACAGUCACACGGAACAAAUAAAACAUUUAUAAAAUCCUCUAUGACGUCCUUUCUUUUCGUUGUGUUCAGCUCCAGGUUGUUUCCGCUGCACAUCGCUGUUAGACACUGCGCUUCUUGUCUGUCUAUAGGCUGUAUCGUCGUAGUUUAUUGACGAGACUUAUGACGUUUUUAGUCUCACAAUGGAUUCUGAGGACCCCCCUUUUAUUAUAGUGCUGUGAUAAUACAGACAUACAGCCUCCUUAAUAUCUAAACAUAUUAUUUGAAUGACUGAAGACGGAGAGUUCUGCGUGAAAGAUGUAUUUUAUUAUUGUCAGUGACAUGGCACACAACCAUUGGUUGAUGCAAUGUGACGUGUCAAUUGUAGGCGGCCUCGUAGGAUUUUCAAUGGGCUGGGCUGCAGCGGAGCUCAGCAUUUCUUCCGAGUCUCUCUCCCCGCUCAGCUAUGCUCGUGUGUAAGGGGUGAAGUUCACAAUGGGAGCCGAGACUAUCGCACGGUGCCAGUAGAGAGACGUCGAUGAAGUGUGUGUCAGUCAUGCUGGUGGCUGGCAGCGACGACAGAGCAGAGCGUGACAUGCCAGUGUUUUUUCCCGAGGGGAUGUGUUUUCUUGGUCUUGGAUCCACGGAGUGAUGGCAGAAUGUUCCAUUUAUUCUAUGGAUCUUUCCUUCCCGUCUUAUUUCUGACACCAUGGCAUGAUCCAGAGCAGGGCGGUGUAACUGGUUCAUUCAAAAUCACGGUUAUAGUGAUCGGAAGAGACACGGAGGAUUUUGCAACAAGUGCAAGUAGGAAAACAGUCAUUACACCUUUCCCCUUCAUAAUCAACGCAGUUCUCUCUGGCAGUGUUCAAGCCUCAGCAGCAGUCAAUCGGAGUGUUUCUGGCUGAUUUGUUCUUCUGAUGAUGAUGGUUGGCAGCUCCCUUCUGGUUUCUUCGGACAGCUCAGUGUCAGUGAAUAGAGAGACAGUGCUGGUUUUAUAGUGACUUGUAUUUCCAUUCACUUACAAAAGGGAGACAUACAUUUCGCCUGUAGAUUGGUAGUAUGCUUCGUCCGGUAAGGUUAAUUUACUCUACCAUUUUCUAUCCAAUACAGCUUGGUUUUCUAGUGACUGACCUGACUUGCCAUUUCGGAUCCUAAUUCAUUCGGAUAGCCUUCCUAAUAAGUGUUAUUAUAGAUAUUGAGAGAUGAUUGUAGCCUACUAGAGCACUGUCGAGUGGGAAGUUUGUCAGACCGAGACACUGAGAAUGUAGAGCACAGCCAUUCAUGCUGGUGGCUGGCAGCGACGACAGAGCAGAGCGUGACAUGCCAGUGUUUUUUCCUGGGGGGAUGUGUUUUCUUGGUCUUGGAUCCACGGAGUGAUGGCAGAAUGUUCCAUUUAUUCUAUAGAUCUUUCCUUCCCGUCUUAUUUCUGCCACCAUGGCAUGAUCCAGAGCAGGGCGGUGUAACUGGGUGAUUCAAAAUCACGGUUAUAGUGAUAGGAAGAGACACGGAGGAUUUUGCAACAAGUGCAAGUAGGAAAACAGUCAUUACACCUUUCCCCUUCAUAAUCAACGCAGUUCUCUCUGGCAGUGUUCAAGCCUCAGCAGCAGUCAAUCGGAGUGUUUCUGGCUGAUUUGUUCUUCUGAUGAUGAUGGUUGGCAGCUCCCUUCUGGUUUCUUCGGACAGCUCAGUGUCAGUGAAUAGAGACACAGUGCUGGUUUUAUAGUGACUUGUAUUUCCAUUCACUUACAAAAGGGAGACACAUUUCUCCAGUAGAUUAGUAGUAUGCUUCGUCCGGGUAGGUCAACUUACUGUCUACUAUUUUCUAUCCAGUACAGCUUGGUUUUACAGUGACUGACUUGACUUAACAUUGGUCGGACAAUUCAGCCGUGGUUGGAUGUUCUCAUGUGAAAGACUCUCGUCCGCGGAGCUACAACCGAGAUAGUAGAGCUGCGCAUCGAUUUGACUGGUGUCGUAACGCAGCCGUGUUCCUUCCUCUGACUGCCAUCGUCCUCACAGAGCCCAGCCUAACUUCUCCGUGCCGGCAACACUACAGCAUCUCCUCGGAGUGAAGCCGCUUUUUGAGCGUCAAACCAGCAGACUAAUUCAACUAGCAUAUAACCAUCACCCUGAUUCCUCUGCCCCCUUUUGUUAAAUAUCAUAAUAUAAUCGGUCGUACACAAUAUCAUCAUAUCGUGUAACGAGCCUGGGUUUAUAAACGUGGAUAGCGACUUUCUGCUUGAGCUUUUUUUACGUCACAUUUUACUAGCGUUAUAUUUCUGUGGUACAGAAAUUAUCUGACAGUUCCAAACUCAAUCAGAAGCUUUUCUAAAUUUUAUUCAAGUAGUUGCAUCCAUUUUAUUCAGGUAGUAUAAUUGCCAUUUGCAAGUACCUAUUAAAAGUAAUAUAUUGGAAUUAUUAUUUGGAGCUCUCUCACAUAUAGUAGGUCUACAUAGCACACAUAGGUAGACAGUAUAACAGUCACACGGAACAAAUAAAACAUUUAUAAAAUCCUCUAUGACGUCCUUUCUUUUCUUCGUGUUCAGCUCCAGGUUGUUUCCGCUGCACAUCGCUGUUAGACACUGCGCUUCUUGUCUGUCUAUAGGUUGUCUCUUCGUUGUUUAUUGACGAGCAUUAUGACGUUUUUAGUCUCACAAUGGAUUCUGAGGACCCCCCUUUUAUUAUAGUGCUGUGAUAAUACAAACAUACAGCCUCCUUAAUAUCUAAACAUAUUAUUUGAAUGACUGAAGACGGAGAGUUCUGUGUGAAAGAUGUAUUUUAUUAUUGUCAGUGACAUGGCACACAACCAUUGGUUGAUGCAAUGUGGCGUGUCAAUUGUAGGCGGCCUCGUAGGAUUUUCAAUGGGCUGGGCUGCAGCGGAGCUCUCAGCAUUUCUUCCGAGUCUCUCUCCCCCCUCAGCUAUGCUGGUGUGUUAGGGGUGAAGUUCUCAAUGGGAGCCGAGACUAUCGCACGGUGGCAGUAGAGAGACACCGAUGAAGUGUGUAUCAGUCUUGCUGGUGGCUGGAAGCGACGGCAGAGCAGAGCGUGACAUGCCAGUGUUUUUUCCUGAGGGGAUGUGUUUUCUUGGUCCUGGAUCCACGGAGUGAUGGCAGAAUGUUCCAUUUAUUCUAUGGAUCUUUCCUUCCCGUCUUAUUUCUGCCACCAUGGCAUGAUCCAGAGCAGGGCGGUGUAACUGGGUGAUUCAAAAUCACGGUUAUAGUGAUCGGAAGAGACACGGAGGAUUUUGCAACAAGUGCAAGUAGGAAAACAGUCAUUACACCUUUCCCCUUCAUAAUCAACGCAGUUCUCUCUGGCAGUGUUCGAGCCUCAGCAGCAGUCAAUCGGAGUGUUUCUAGCUGAUUUGUUCUUCUGAUGAUGACGGUUGGCAGCUCCCUUCUGGUUUCGUUUUACAGCGCAGAGUGUCAGUGAGUAGUGCUGGUUAUAUAGUGACUUGUAUUUCCAUUCACUUACAUCCACGGUUUCAUCCAACCGAGGUCGUUUUAUCCAGCCGGCGCGUUAUAUCCGAACGAGGCCGUUAUAUCCAACCGAGGCUUUAUAUCCAACCGAGGCCGUUUUUUCCAACCGAGGUUGUUUCUCAGUUUUUAUUUUUAUUAUUAUUAUUUUUUCCGAACAUGACUCUAGUAUGCAGUGUGAUAUAAUAUUGAAAUGUGAAAUUAAAGACAUUUUAUUAUUA